GACGAACGCUGGCGGCGUGCUUAACACAUGCAAGUCGAACGGUAAGGCCCUUCGGGGUACACGAGUGGCGAACGGGUGAGUAACACGUGGGUGAUCUGCCCUGCACUUUGGGAUAAGCCUGGGAAACUGAGUCUAAUACCGGAUAGGACUCCUGGCUUCAUGGUUGGGGGUGGAAAGCUUUUGCGGUGUGGGAUGGGCCCGCGGCCUAUCAGCUUGUUGGUGGGGUAAUGGCCUACCAAGGCGACGACGGGUAGCCGGCCUGAGAGGGUGACCGGUCACACUGGGACUGAGAUACGGCCCAGACGCCUACGGGAGGCAGCAGUGGGGAAUAUUGCACAAUGGGCGCAAGCCUGAUGCAGCGACGCCGCGUGAGGGAUGACGGCCUCCGGGUUGUAAACCUCUUUCAGCUAUGACGAAGCGCAAGUGACGGUAGUAGCAGAAGAAGGACCGGCCAACUACGUGCCAGCCGCCGCGGUAA
rnacentral:rRNA from 1 species